GUAUACCCCAUAGUUGUCUGCACAGAAAAACUAGGUUCUCCUGGAGCACAGCACCAUAACUUUGUCAUUGAAGAACAGCUAUUAACUUCAUAGAAGCUAAAAUGGGUGGCAAAGGCCACUGAUCAUCCUGCAGGCAGAGACAGCAGGCAAAAUAUGGAAAUCCCUGAAGGGAGAGCAGGUAUUAUACAGGAAUAAAAGGAUAUAAUGGAACAAAACUGGUAGCCUAGUAGAGCCUUUUUAGUGUCCAGUAUCAGAUUGGUUAUUAAUUCAGGAAAAGUUCACUCCAUACAGGUUUCAUAUUCAGUAUUCAGUAACUCAGCUACAAGUUUCUAUAUAAAUAUUUUUGUUCAUCAUCUUAUCAAAAUUAACUCAUUUUUCAUGUGAAAAAGAUUUAAAAAAUGCAUCUUCCUUUCUUCAACAGCAGUAUGUGUUGCAAAUAUAAGUGCUUUAAGACAUCAUUAAUUUAAUGUAUAAGGAAUUUUUUAAACAGAAUGACUAAUUGAUAGUUCAGCAAUUCCAAGGUGACUGGUGAGAAGAAAAACAGCUGUUUUCCUAGCUGUAAUAAAAACAAAUACAAUAAAGUCAAACAUUGACAACUAUAUUUCUUCUAAAAAUAGUAUACAUUAUAACAGAAGCAUAAGAAUAAAUUGAACACUCAGAACCAAUAUCUUGCAAACAGAUAUAAAACUAAAAAAAGUGUGUACAUCUCCAUUUAUGCCAUAAAAGGAGGGGAAAAAGUAUUUCAAGUAUAGUAAUGAGUAAUCCAGUGUAUGGUGAAGUUUAAGGCUAACAUUUUCAACCUUCAUAGCUGAAUUUAUACAGAAUCCACCUAUGAACUCUCAGAAGCAGCUUUAUUUCCAUUCAACAUGAACUCUUGCAUCUGACAUUGACUUUUGAAGAGCUUCAAGGGAUCAAAUUCAUCUUCACAAAACCACAGCUUCUUCAAAAAUUUACAAGUUUUACCCAGAAAUCAGGAAAAGGGGUAGAUUUCAGUUGAACAUGUUGAUUCAGGAAUGUUACUGCAUUGUUUCAUAUUCCCAUUUUGAUUCUUAGGUGAGGAUUCCAGCUCCUAGCUGGUCUGGAUCUACCAAAGCACAGCAUAUUAUAAUACCACACAGAUAUACUGUGGCAUGUUAUGGGAGGGAAAAGCUAUGUGCAUACAUGCCAGCACUCACCAGUCAGAAGAACAACUUAACACACAGACAUAUGAUCCUAAAUCAUGUAUGCAGUCAGCCCAAGGUAUGGGAAUUAUGUUGGACAACUCCAUUAUGAGCUGUUUGCACAUCGGCAGUGGAUGCCUCUGUAGGAACCGAAAGCAGCAGCAAUGGUCCCCAAAGCUGAAUCUAGAGCAUCUAACUCAAGACAGAAAAUUAAUGCCAAAAGCUAGAAGCUGACAGACAUCUGUUGGGAAACCCCCACCAUUAAAAACCAUUAAACACCUGAACUGCAACAACACAGAGCAGUAAAAUUUCCUCCUUAAAAUACAGCUAGAAAACUAGAGUUUUAAGGAUCAGCAGCUUUUUUUGAGGAA